GGGGAUAUAGCUCAGUUGGUAGAGUACUUGCUUCACAUGCACAAGGCCCUGGGUUCAAUCCUCAGCACUGCCC
rnacentral:tRNA from 1 species